UAGGGAAUAUUGCGCAAUGGAGGAAACUCUGACGCAGCGACGCCGCGUGCGGGAUGAAGGCCUUCGGGUUGUAAACCGCUUUCAGUAGGGAAGAAGCGAAAGUGACGGUACCUACAAAAGAAGCACCGGCUAACUAUGUGCCAGCAGCCGCGGUAAUACAUAGGGUGCAAGCGUUGUCCGGAAUUAUUGGGCGUAAAGAGCUCGUAGGUCGUUUGUUACGUCGGAUGUGAAAAUCUGAGGCUCAACCUCAGACCUGCAUUCGAUACGGGCAAACUAGAGUUUGGUAGGGGAGACUGGAAUUCCUGGUGUAGCGGUGGAAUGCGCAGAUAUCAGGAGGAACAUCAACGGCGAAGGCAGGUCUCUGGGCCAAUACUGACACUGAGGAGCGAAAGCGCGGGGAGCGAACAGGAUUAGAUACCCUGGUA
rnacentral:rRNA from 1 species